rnacentral:rRNA from 1 species
UACGUAGGGGGCAAGCGUUGUCCGGAUUUAUUGGGCGUAAAGAGCGUGUAGGCGGUCAGGUAGGUCCGUUGUGAAAACUCGAGGCUCAACCUCGAGACGCCGAUGGAAACCAUCUGACUAGAGUCCGGAAGAGGAGAGUGGAAUUCCACGUGUAGCAGUGAAAUGCGUAGAGAUGUGGAGGAACACCGAUGGCGAAGGCAGCCCCCUGGGUCAAGAUUGACGCUCAUGCACGAAAGCGUGGGGAGCAAACAGG